rnacentral:misc_RNA from 1 species
UUGACUACAUUAUUAUUCUCCUUAUCCUCAGUGAUCUCCUCCUUUGCAGCAGUUUCAGCCACUGGCUCUUCAAUCUUGCUUUCUGACUCCUUACCAGUCUCAACAGAAUCAGUUUUCCCAUCUUCCGAAACUUUCUCACUAGUAGCGAGUUCUUCAGUUGCUGCUACAGCAGGGGCUGUAGUUGGCUCAGUAGGAGGGACCAGCUGAAU